rnacentral:rRNA from 1 species
AUUGAACGCUGGCGGAAUGCUUUACACAUGCAAGUCGAGCGGCAGCACGGGGGCAACCCUGGUGGCGAGCGGCGAACGGGUGAGUAAUACAUCGGAACAUGCCCAGUCGUGGGGGAUAACACUUCGAAAGAAGUGCUAAUACCGCAUACGUCCUGAGGGAGAAAGCGGGGGAUCGCAAGACCUCGCGUGAUUGGAGUGGCCGAUGUCAGAUUAGCUAGUUGGUGGGGUAAAGGCCUACCAAGGCAACGAUCUGUAGCUGGUCUGAGAGGAUGAUCAGCCACACUGGGACUGAGACACGGCCCAGACUCCUACGGGAGGCAGCAGUGGGGAAUUUUGGACAAUGGGGGCAACCCUGAUCCAGCCAUUCCGCGUGAGUGAAGAAGGCCUUCGGGUUGUAAAGCUCUUUCGGCAGGAACGAAACGGCGAGCUCUAACAUAGCUUGCUAAUGACGGUACCUGAAGAAGAAGCACCGGCUAACUACGUG